GGGAAGCAGAGGACAGUUUGGAAAAGUGCUGCGGUGGGCUAAGAAGUCCUAGACCCUAGAGCACUGCAUCUUUUAGAAAUGAGAAUUGACCGGAAGCCAGCUGUGCGUGAGAGCUAACUGUCUCUGAUCUCUUGAAGGGAAACUCACCUCUGUGCAGAGGGCCAGCCCAAGGUCUAAGCACCACAUAAGCCCACAGACCCCUAGACCCUCCAGUCAGCAAUGAGAAAAAACAGAAUCUUGUGCCUCAAGCCAACAUCUACUCUCUGCAAAGACUGAAAUGACCAUACAGUAUCAUUCCAGGUGCGUCCAGCAGCACAAGAAAUAAAAUCACAACUCUGGGAACCAAUAUGAGUGCACCAUUAUGAGGGCCUGAUAGAGAAGCCAGGUGUGAGAGCAACCCUUGUUGCAGAAAUGGAUCUAUUCAUCUCCCGCCAUUACAAGAUUGGUUUGCUUCCUGGAAAGAGGAUAUAUGACCAGCAGGUCUAACUAUCUCAAAAUCUGGCAUUUUAUACAGAUGCUCAUCCACAUGAUGUUUUCUACAAUUAUCCUUUGGGAAGAAUCCAUUGUUAUUCAUCCAAGAAGGCCUCAAUGAGGAGAGCUGGGAAGAACAUGUUUAGACAUACCCCAAGCCAGUAAACGCUGAAUCUAUUAGAUCCAGACAAGAGACAACCACACAGGAGUGGACCUUUGGAAUGGAAAAAGAGUAACCGAGGACCAAAUCCAUUCCUGGAAGCACAGACACAGUGGGAGAACAGAGACCAGCUUGCUUGUGGGCAGUCUGGCAUGUACUGGGGCAGAAAGAGAAAGUGAAUAAAAAGUAAAAGGUGCAGAAAUAAGAUUACCAAUAUCAAAUUUUACCCUUUGCACCAAAGACAUUUAGUCUGUAAUAUUGGGGCUUUGAAUCCAAUAAUCUAUAACUAAGGUCCAGAAUACUUGCCAGCUUCUGUUUUAAUUAUAUAGAGCUUUGUUGUGGCUGAAGAAAUAAAUAAAUUCUGAGUUGGAGAUAUCUAGGAAUAAUGUUGGAUCUCCUAGAUGAGACUCAAAUAGAUGCUGUUUAUUUCUUGGCAUUACCAGUAUUUUCUCUCUUUCUUCAAGAGUUUCUUGUUUAUAAUUUGAAUAGGAUUGUUGACAGAAACAAGUACUGACUUGUGCUUGGCAUCACACCUAAAGGAGGAAGAGCACACUGGAUGCAUCCAUUAACACAGCAGUGCCAACAUCAGAAAAAGGGGAUAGUAAAGGGCUGUGAUCUCUGACCU